UCGUGGAUCUUGAUUAAGAAAAAACAAUAAAUAAACGAGAACUUGAACGCGUCAACGGAACAGCUACGCUAAAGACCUGGAUUUUGUUCGGACGAAGCCUGGAUCAGGUUUGAGAUUUGGCGUAAAUUCAAGUAAAUUCGUGCCAAGAAAGUUCCUCCAAGAUUUGAUGUACAGUGAUGAAAAAAUAAAAGUGGAGAAAUAAAUAACAUUCUAUUGCUGAACUUUGGAACUUAGUUGGGCCAAUAGCCAGCAGUUGCCCCACCAUCAUUUUAAACAAAAGUGGGGAGAACUUUCGCAUCGAGUCAUAAGUUUCUUCGAGGAUUCUUCGAGGAAAGGAAUCGAAUUUAUCCGAAGCUCGGACAACCGAUUCUACCCGAUGUAACGAGAGCGUAACGACAUUGGCCGGACCAUAGAGCAUCACGGUGACUUUAACCUAGUUAAUGAUAACGCGAAAAUCAAGUUAAACGACCCUCACUAUUUACUCCCUUCUCACCCAUGGACACACUGCCAGGAUGCACUUAAUUACCAUGCUCUCUCGAUUCGCUCUAGUGCCAAUACUGUUUAAAGUAAUUUUUUGUUUAAUAUAAUUCGAUUUUCUUUUUUUUUUUUUUCUUUCGACAUCGAGUUACCUCGCGAAUCAACUUUUGAUUAUCGACGAUGCAAAGUAAAAAUAAAAGUGAAUUUAGAGUAUCUCCGUAUGAGUUUUACUUAUUAUUCUUAGAAUUUUCGUUAAAAUUUUUUUGUCUAUUUCCGUUUUCCGUUUUUCUAUGUAUUUAAAUUUUUUAUUAAGAAUUUUUUUUGCAUAUGAGAUAACCUCAAAUAACAAUAAAAGUAGCUAAAAAAAA